UACGUAGGGGGCUAGCGUUGUCCGGAAUCAUUGGGCGUAAAGAGCGUGUAGGCGGCUCGAUAAGUCCGCUGUGAAAGGUCCAGGCUCAACCCUGGGAUGCCGGUGGAUACUGUCGGGCUCGAGUCCGGAAGAGGCGAGUGGAAUUCCUGGUGGUAGCGGUGAAAUGCGCAGAUAUCAGGAGGAACACCAAUGGCGAAGGCAGCUCGCUGGGACGUGACUGACGCUGAGACGCGAAGCGUGGGGAGCAAACAGG
rnacentral:rRNA from 1 species